UUCGAAACAGACAAAGUCAUUUUUGCUAUACCAUGAGCUAUAAUUGAAUUACAGCAGGAACUAGGAGUAUCUUAUAUUGAUUAUCCUUUUUUCACUAAAACUCUAAAUUAAUUUCAAUAAUUAUCCAAUCCAACUCUCGCCUACUAGAGGUACCAUUGAGAAUGAAGUUCGCAACGUUCUUUAAAUCUCACACUGUAAUUAGAGGAGAGAAACACCAGCUUCUUCUUCAGCCAUCUGACUUCACAUAGCUGAAGCCUCAACAGUUUCCACAUCUCCUGAACAACGUUUCUUUGAUGUUGCAGCUGGCCAUGUAAGCACUUUCAUAAUUUCUAAUGAUGCACCCCAAAAAGCAACAAUACUGUCUUCUUCUUCUUCUUUUUUACAGCAUUAUUAAGCUUUUAUACCAAGGAGGUUCUGGAGGAUACCAAAUAUUAGUUCGAGGAGGGAAACAAUUUUGCUAGAGAUAAGUGUGCUUUGGUGACCCUCAUUUGAUAGACUUCAACAGGAUUCCAAGAAGCCCUCAUAAAACUUGAGGACGACCCUCCCUUGAAUUACUACUAUACACAACUUUAUUUCGAGAUUUCCAAAUUGAACAAGCCUCCCGCACAAACAAUACAAACAUUUCUUUUUAAUCAUGUGAUGAUUGCCGGUUCAAUCACAUGGGAUCUAUCUAACCAACCACUUACAAGUUUAAAUCUGGGUUUACAAUUUAUUUUUUCACACGUAAUUUUUUUUUUUUUUUGUGGGGGGGUUAGUGCGCCUUGUGAAGCCACUUUAUAAAGUUAAACAUUUUUCAAUAAUAGAAUAUAAUGGAUAGAGAAUUGUUAGAUAAAAUGAUUCUAAAUUAUAUGGACAUGUAGUAUGGAGAAUUCACAAUCAAAUUAUCAAUUGGUUGUAAGAUGACACACGUGUGCUUUAUUACCGUGACAUCAGCUUUAUUGUACAAAUAAAAUGUUGAAAAA
rnacentral:lncRNA from 1 species